CCAGGCCUGGUAUUGGAUAUCCAGGUUGAGGGUCGUAGGGAGAUUCGCCAGGCAAAUCCGGUGGAUCGUUAAUCCUGAGGGCCCGAAGCGAGAGUCGCAAGACUCAUAAAGCUGGUGACGCCACGCUGCCAAGAAAAGCCUCUAAGGAGUGGGAUGGUACCCGUACCGCAAACCGACACAGGUAGGCGAGGAGAAAAUCCUCAGGCGCAAGUGAGAACACUCGUUUAGGA
rnacentral:rRNA from 1 species